rnacentral:lncRNA from 1 species
AAUUUCAUCAGCAUACCUGCAUCUCUUACUCGGCUCUCGAAGCUUUGGUUUCUUGAUUUGUCAAAUUGCAACAUGUGCACUCUUGGUGAAGCAGAUAUUCAUGGUCUAUCCUCUUUGAGUCAUCUUUAUCUUAAGGGUAACAAUUUCAUCACCAUUCCUUUGGCUCUUACUCAACUUAGCAGGCUUAAAUCGCUUGAAUUAUCAUACUGCACAGAGCUUAAAUCCUUGCCUGAGCUUCUAACAACUAUAGCAGAUGUGAUUAUAGAUGGUUGUGCUUCACUUGAAUUAGUUGCAAGUCCAUCAAAAGUAUGCAACUUAGUGGAUGAGGCUCUCGUUUAUGCCAUUAACUGCUUCAAAUUGGCUGAGAAUAUCAAUGCAUUAACACUGCUCAGAAAACAUCUUAAGGUCGACUAAUCUAUUUUCUCCCUUACAAAAUGUCAUACUUGAGAAUUUAUGGUUUUAGUUACCAAACGACUUGUGUUUUAUUUUGCAGGCUUUUGCAAAUUCAAGAAAAAUGUUUGCUAUUCUUAUGCCCGGAAGUGACAUCCCAGAAUGGUUUAGCCACCAAAAAAGUGACUCUUUCAAUUAAGAUACCCCUUCCGAAAGAUAGUCAAUGGAUUGGAGUUGCUUCUUGCUGCAUUUUUGUCAAUAAUGAUUCUUCAAGAGAUUACGAGAUUAUCAGUUGUUGUGCAUGUAUCAAUUUCAGAAAUUCUGAACAAGCCAGCCGUGAUGGAUCUAUUUUUCGAGGUAGAAAUCGUAGAAUGAUUGGUGGGACAGGCUGGCAGGUGGGGCCCAUAAUAAAAGAUGACCUUUUUCUUCAUUAUUGGUCGCGUGAUCAACUAUAUCCAAUUUCCAUGGAGUAUAAAUAUGGUCAUUGUGAAACCAAUAAUUUACGGGCAACAGAUUGCUUAGAUCAUAAAUGCGAUGAGCUUGAGCUGUCUUUCUCAGACCUAGAUGUUGAAGACAAUGCUAAGGUGAAGAAGUGUGGUGUUAGAAUAGUGUAUGAGAAAGAUUUGGAAGAAAUAAAAGAGUUGCAGUGCCAUACCACUCAAUUUUCUCCAAAUUUUGAACACACCCACCAACACUCUAUUCACAACGAUGGAUCAGUAGAUAACACUUCUCACAUAAAACGAAAAGCUAAUAUCUACGAUGAAGCGGAGGAAGAAGGGCCGCAACCGAAACGGAUGCAGAAGUUUUUCAAUUUUAUAAUGGGCCAACCGGGGAAGAAGCAUUAACUGUGGUAAACUACUUAACCAACCUCCUAUUGAUUUUUUUUUGUUUUACACAUUUAUAUUGUUUGUAUUUUUAAUUUCAUUUAAAGUAAUAUUCUAAAUUUAUUUAGGAACGAGAUACGAUCCUUCCAUUAUAUAUCCAAAAGUUUUAAAAUUUUUAUUCAUACUCAUAUUGAACAUGAGCACAUAUUCUAUGCAUAUCGCAAAUGUUGAUAACAUAAAUUUUUAUACCAUUUAAAAUUUUAGUCACUUAAUUCAUUCAUUCAUAGUUGAAAUGUGUACAUUUAUAUUAGUUUAUUUUUUAUUAAAUUUUUAUUUUCAUAUUAUAUAUAUAUAUAUUCACUUACAUCUAUUUUUUAUUUAUAAGUAGAAGUAAAUAUAAUCAAUUUGAGACACAAAUGUGGAGAAAAAAGAAUAUCUUCCACGACAAAGCACGUAAUCAAAAUGUGAAAAUCCUCUAAUGAGAAUUAGAUCAUAAUUUCACUUGAGUUAAUAACUAUCAUUUUUAUUUGAGAUUAAUUUAUGUGUUCAAUUUAAUCGGUCAAAAUUAUUUUUCUAUAUUUGAAAGAUUAAAUAUAAGUCUUUAAUUAGUACUUAAAUAGGUUUAAUUCCUUUUAAUAAAAGUACCAUUUAAAUUUCAUGGCUUGAAGUACAAAUAAUAUUAUUUCAACUCUUCAAUUUAUAUUUUUUACAAAGUAUUUAUGUUUAGACAUUUAUUUUUAACACUUAUUCAAAUAUGAAUAUAAAGUAUAUUCUUUUAAUUAAUUGGAAAAUCUUUUCUGUGUGAGAAACAUAUUCAUAUCCAAUAUAUUUUUUAAAAUUCAAUAGAUUCAUUUUUGUUCUUGUUUAAAGUGAGCAAGAUUUUCAACGAUUAUGUUUUCCGUGAUAUUAACAAAAAAUUCUCUAUUUGAAGUAAAUUAAUAUACCAGUGAUACAGAUUAUCCCAAUGCAACAAAAAUAAUCUUGGUCUUUUAUGUUUAUCCCUUAGACCGAUAAAAACAUGAAAGUCUGCUCAAAGGAUCGUGCAAGUGAAGGACCAGCAAAGAUUAUCAGGUUGAAAUGGAAGCAGACACUUACAUAAUUAUAUGCUCGGAUUAAUUUUGAGAAUUUUCAGAGGAGUCAAAAUUAAAUUACAAUUUUUACAAUAGUAAAAAUAUAACUUAACUAUUUUAAUAACUUAUAUCUUUAUAAAUUUUUAAUGAUUGAAUCAAAUUUUUAUCAAUUUUUGGGAGAUUAAAGUAUAAUUUCACCUUUACUAAUUUAAAAUUUUAAAUAUUAAAAAAAGUCUAAAAAUGUAAAUUUUAAGGAGAUUAUAUGGUCGGAUGAAUUUUGAGAAUUAAAAUUGGAUAGAGAUUAUGUUAAUAUAUAAUUAGAUGUUUUUUUUUUACAUAUAAUGUAAUGUAAAUUAUAUUAUAUUAUUUUAAAUGAAAUUUUUUCAAUUUGUUAUUUGUAAAAUGUAAAUUAAAAUAGUAAUCUAAUUGUAAUGUCAAUAAAACCUUUUAAACUAGGCAGGUUCUUAGAGUUUAUAAAUUUUAACAAUUUGACCCUUAUUUUUUUUCUUUUCAACAAUUUAACCCUCAAAAUUUUAUUUUGAGUCAAAUUAUGAUUUUUUUAUAGCAAAUGUCCAUUAAACCAAUAAUUUAAUGAUAUUAACGUGAGAUGAAUAAUGAAUUCAUUUUAAUUCAACAUUAAACUUUUCAAGUAUCAUCUCAUUUGGACCAUCUUUUCCUCUAACUUGAAUAGAGGAUAGAUUGAAGGAAAUUCCAUUUGAUUGGUGCGCAAUUUUCCUCUGACUUGAUUAGAAUGAUAUUAUCAAAUGUUCUGACUUGAUUAGAAUGAAAUUAUGAAAUGUUCACUCUCGUAACCAUUUUUUGGAAAAACGGGAAUCGACUUAGAUUUUAAAAAAUGAAAACGAAAAACGGGAGUCGCCACCAAUCUUUUUUGAUGAGGUGUGAUCGGAUCAUCUUAAAUUAAUCAUUUUAAUAAAAGUCAAGAUUUACUAAAACGAUAAUUUUGGGUCUACGAAAAAUCAGAAAACGAGUUUGGGAGUCGGUUACGCACGAGGAAGGAUUAGCACCCUCGAUACGCCCAAAAUUGGUACCUAGUUGAUUAAUUAAUGUCUUAGUGUCGAAGAUUUGAAAACUUGAAAGAAUUUAAAAUACGAUCCCUCUUUAUAUUAACGCUAAAAAUGAUUAAAUAAAUUAAAACGGAUGUUAAGGACUCUCUCAUCUCGAAGUAAUAAAAUAUCAUGCCCAGUAAGUUAGAACACGACACCUCAAACUUUGAGACUGAGCUUGCCUUUUAUUUAAAAUUAAUGUAUUUUAACUCCUUUUAAAAAGGAUAUUCGGUUAAUGAGGGUGAACGAGGAAAAUUGAAACCCAGUAAGUUAGGGCACGUUUCCUCGAAUUCCCGAACACCGAAUAUUGCCUUUAUUUGCUAAAAAUCUUAUUUCGAGGUAACAGAAUGUCAUACCCGGUAAGUUAGGGCACCACACCUCGUAUCUCCGAAAAAAAGCAUUUUUAAAACUCGUAUUGUGGUUUAAAAGAAUAUUCUGUUAUUUUGGUUAAACGAGAAAAAUCGAAACCCAGUAAGUUAGGGCACGAUUUUCUCGAAAUUCCAAAUACGGAGUAUUGCCUUUAUAAAAGAAGUAAUUUUGGUUGGAUAAAACAAAAAUUCGUAAUAAAACGAGAUAAUAGAGAAUGCAUGAGCAAAUAAAAAAUUUUAGUAUUGAUGGGCAUAACAUAAACACGAAUGUGAACGAUAGCAAUGAUUAGAGCACAAAUAAAUGAAUAAAAAGAAUAAAAAGAAAAUAACGAACAAGCUAGGAAAUAUUCGAAAUUAGAAAGAACUAGUAAUAAAUAAACAAUCAUUAUGUAAAACCAACGAGUGAUAGUAUAGUAAUGAUGAUAACAAUAUUAAUAAUAGUAAUAAUACAAAUAAUAAUUUUGGAAUGAUGUAUGAAAGUGUAUAUAUGUAUGUGUAUAUAUAAAUAAGUAAAUAAUAUAUAAAGUGAGUGAAGAAUAAAAAAUAAAAUAAGUGUAUUUAAAGAGUAAUGGAUAAAAAUAUAAUAAUAAUACAAUGGCAGUAAUAAUGAUAAUAAUAAAGUCUUAGAAAUCUUAAGAUGCUUAAACUUUUGAAUUUAAGAGACUGCAAAAGUCUUAGAAAUCUUCCAACCAGAAUUGGAAUGGAAUCUCUUGAAACAUUAAUUCUUUCGGGUUGCUCAAGUCUUGUAAGGUUUCCGGAGAUUGAUGGGAGGAUGGAACAUCUAAAAACUCUUGACCUUUCUAGUUGUUAUAAAAUUAAGUAUUUGCCAGUGAAUUCGCAACAAGUAGAGUUUUUGGAAGAGCUUGACUUGAGUGAAACAAGCAUAACAGAGCCACCAUCCUUCCUUUCUCAAUUGAAACAUCUUGAAAGGCUAUCUUUCAAGGGGUGCAAGGGACCAUCAUAUAAGUCACGACCAAAUUUGCCUUCUCUUUUCAAGGUAAUCCAAGGAAGAAGGACGAAUCCCAUGGCUCGGAUGUUGCCUUGGUUGUCAGUUUUGAGUUCAUUAAGAAUCCUAAAACUAAGGGACUGCAAUCUUUGUGAAGGAGAUAUUCCACUUGAUUUUUCUGGUCUAUCCUGUUUGAUGAAUCUUGAUCUUAGUGGUAACAAUUUCAUCAGCAUACCUGCAUCUCUUACUCGACUCUCAAAGCUUGAGUUCCUUCGCUUCUCAAAUUGCAACAUGUGCAGUCUUGGGGAAGCAGAUAUUCACGGUCUAUCCUCUUUGAUAUCGCUUGAUCUUAGUGGUAACAAUUUCAUCACCAUCCCUUUGGCUCUUACUCAACUUAGCAGGCUUGUAUCGCUUUGCUUAUCAAAUUGCAAGAUGCUUAAAUUCUUGCCUGAGCUUCUAACAACUAUACGAUAUGUGAGUAUAGAUGGUUGUGCUUCACUUGAAGUAGCUGCAAGUCCAUCAAAAGUAUGCAACUUAGUGGAUGAGGCUCACGUUUAUGCCAUUAACUGCUUCAAAUUGGCUGAGAAUAUCAAUGCAUUAACACUGCUGAGAAAACAUCUUAAGGUCGACUAAUCUCUAUUUUCUCCCUUACAAAAUCUCAUACUUGAGAAUUUAUGGUUUUAGUUACCAAACGACUUGUGUUUUAUUUUGCAGGCUUGUGCAAAUUCAAGAAAAGAGUUUGCUAUUUUUAUGCCCGGAAGUGACAUCCCAGAAUGGUUUAGCCAACAAAAAAGUGACUCUUCAAUUAAGAUACCCCUUCCGAAAGAUAGUCAAUGGAUUGGAGUUGCUUCUUGCUGCAUUUUUAUCAACAAUGAUUCUUCAAGAGAUGACGAGAGUAUCAGCAGUUGUGCAUAUAUCAAUUUCAGAAAUUCUGAACAAGCCAGCCGUGAUGGAUCUAUUUUUCGAGGUAGAAAUCGUAGAAUGAUUAGUGGGACGACAGGCUGGGUGGUGAGGCCCUUAAUGAAAGAUCACCUUUUUCUUCAUUAUUGGUCGCGUGAUAAACUAUAUCCAAUUUACAUGGAGUAUAAAUAUGGUCAUUGUGAAACCAAUAAUUUACGGGCAACAGAUUGCUUAGAUCAUAAAUGCGAUGAGCUUGAGCUGUCUUUCUCAGACCUAGAUGUUGAAGACAAUGCUAAGGUGAAGAAGUGUGGUGUUAGAAUAGUGUAUGAGGAAGAUUUGGAAGAAAUAAAAGAGUUGCAGUGCCAUACCACUCCAUCUUCUCACAUCCACCAACACUCUGCUCACAACCAUGGAUCAGUAGAUAGCGCUUCUCACAUAAAACGAAAAGCUAGUAACGCAGCGGAGGAAGAAGGGCCGCAACCAAAACGGAUGCAGAAAAUUUUCAAUUUUAUAAUGGGCCAAUCGGGGGAGAAGCAUUAAGUGUGGUACACUACUUAACCAACCUCCUGUUGAUUUGUUUUUCUAUAAAUCUAUCUUGUUUGUAUUUUUUAUUCCAUUUAAAGUAAUCAUUCUAAAUUUAUUUACAAAAGAGAUAUGAUCCUUUCAUUAUAUAUCAAAAAGUUUUAAAUUUUUUAUUCAUACUCACAUUAAGCAUGAGCUCAUAUUGCGAAUAUUGAUAAUAUAGGUUUUUAUACUAUUUAAAAUUUUAAUUACUUAUAAUUAAAAUGUGUACAUUUAUA